AUGAACGCUGGCGGCGUGCCUAAUACAUGCAAGUCGAGCGAACAGACGAGGAGCUUGCUCCUCUGACGUUAGCGGCGGACGGGUGAGUAACACGUGGAUAACCUACCUAUAAGACUGGGAUAACUUCGGGAAACCGGAGCUAAUACCGGAUAAUAUAUUGAACCGCAUGGUUCAAUAGUGAAAGACGGUUUUGCUGUCACUUAUAGAUGGAUCCGCGCCGCAUUAGCUAGUUGGUAAGGUAACGGCUUACGAAGGCAACGAUGCGUAGCCGACCUGAGAGGGUGAUCGGCCACACUGGAACUGAGACACGGUCCAGACUCCUACGGGAGGCAGCAGUAGGGAAUCUUCCGCAAUGGGCGAAAGCCUGACGGAGCAACGCCGCGUGAGUGAUGAAGGUCUUCGGAUCGUAAAACUCUGUUAUUAGGGAAGAACAAAUGUGUAAGUAACUAUGCACGUCUUGACGGUACCUAAUCAGAAAGCCACGGCUAACUACGUG
rnacentral:rRNA from 1 species